UGGGGAAUCUUGGACAAUGGGCGCAAGCCUGAUCCAGCCAUGCCGCGUGGAUGAUGAAGGCCUUAGGGUUGUAAAAUCCUUUCGUUGGGGACGAUAAUGACGGUACCCAAAGAAGAAGCUCCGGCUAACUUCGUGCCAGCAGCCGCGGUAAUACAGAGGGUGCAAGCGUUAAUCGGACUUACUGGGCGUAAAGGGUGCGUAGGCGGAAGGAUAAGUUAGUUGUGAAAGGCCUGGGCUUAACCUAGGAACUGCAAUUAAGACUGUCCAUCUAGAGUUGAGUAGAGGGGAGCGGAAUUUCCGGUGUAGCGGUGAAAUGCGUAGAUAUCGGAAGGAACAUCAGUUGCGAAGGCGGCUCUCUGGACUCAAACUGACGCUGAGGCACGAAAGCGUGGGUAGCGAACAGGAUUAGAUACCCCCGUAGUCCCUGAGCGGGCUGGCAAGGCGCAU
rnacentral:rRNA from 1 species